UUCUGAUCUUGUCAGGUAAUCACGCUGAUUUGCCUGUCACAUUGAAGUGGUAUGCCUCUGUGUUCUGAUAUGUCGAGGCAAUAAAACACACAUGUUCCUUGGAGCCAUCAAGCUAUGAUUGCUCUUGUAGUGAGUGUAGCCUGUUGUACACUUGGCCCGAGUGCUAGCCAGUGUUACGAUUGAGCCGCAUUUGCGUUUGCUCCACAUGGAUAAACUUCAUCGGUACCUAUUUAUCUCCUCUCUAUAUCCGGUCAGGUACACACACUACUACUAAGGAUUUCAGUAUUGGGACUUCAUACUGCACAUGGACUCAUAGAGCAAACCAUGUGUUAAUGCUAGGCUGUCGAUGUAGUGGGAAGAAAGCUGAUGGAAAGUGCUCUCAUGCUGAGAGAUAUGAAAGAUGAAUUGUCCUGCAGCCUGUAAACAGUUUGAGAUUCUAUAAUUUUUGUGUGAUUUGAUGGGUUUGGGAUUUUUGUUUCCAGUAGCUGAUGUGCAUGUGUACAGUGGGGCUAAUUAAGCCGUGCCCGCACAUAUUGAUCAACUAGAUCAUGAAUGGCGCGUGUUGCUGCACUCAUCUGUUUUA
rnacentral:lncRNA from 1 species